CCAGAAGCAGCGCACCCUACUGUUCCUUCAUCUUCCUCAGCUUUCAACUCGCCUUAACUCGUUUCCGAGUUCACUCACAUGGUCCCCUCCCUCUACGUCACCUUAUUUCCCAACGGAUUUGUCAGAAGAGUACGAAUAUUCUCUCAAAAUUGCACGAUUUCGGGUACGAAAGGACAAUUUGCUGGAUGAAUGGAACUCGUGGAUAGAUGUAAAUCGAUCCACGCCUUCCAUUUGUCCAAAAAAUUGUUCAAAAAAAAGACUCGAAGAUUUUCGGAUUUUGGGCAGAUUUUUCGAAGGCUAUAUAUAUGAGGUUAAAAUUUUUUGGAGAGGAUAGUUAAAGGAGCAUGAAGCCAAUGAAUGUAUUGAUUGAAAGUUAAGGACAUAGAACAAAGAAUUUGCCCUGGAAUAUGCUGCAUAUAAUGUUAAAGACAAGAUUAAUUUCAAGCAAUGACAAAGCUAAUAGCCAAGAAUGGUUCAUGAGCCUUGCUGUGUGUCACAUUAGUUGCAUAGCACCUUUCAUAUGUAGAUGUCGUUUUUUAGAGGUUUGGAAGUGAAUCCUUAUUCUUUGAUAAUUGUUUAAUGUGAAUGACAACAAUGCUUGCUCUUU